rnacentral:misc_RNA from 1 species
UCGCGGCUUAUCACCGGCAGUCCCACUAGAGUGCCCAACUAAAUGCUGGCAACUAAUGGCGAGGGUUGCGCUCGUUGCGGGACUUAACCCAACAUCUCACGGCACGAGCUGACGACAGCCAUGCAGCACCUGUGUUCCGAUUCCCUUUCGGGCACAGCUGGAUCUCUCCAGCCUCUCGGACAUGUCAAGGGUAGGUAAGGUUUUUCGCGUUGCAUCGAAUUAAUCCACAUAAUCCACCGCUUGUGCGGGUCCCCGUCAAUUCCUUUGAGUUUUAGCCUUGCGGCCGUACUCCCCAGGCGGGGCACUUAAUGCGUUAGCGUCGGCACGGGAGGAGUCGACACCUCCCACACCUAGUGCCCAUCGUUUACGGCGUGGACUAC